AUAUCAAUAAGCGGAGGAAAAGAAACCAACAGGGAUUGCCCUAGUAACGGCGAGUGAAGCGGCAACAGCUCAAAUUUGAAAUCUGGCUCUUUCAGAGUCCGAGUUGUAAUUUGCAGAGGGCGCUUUGGCUUUGGCAGCGGUCCAAGUUCCUUGGAACAGGACGUCACAGAGGGUGAGAAUCCCGUACGUGGUCGCUAGCUAUUGCCGUGUAAAGCCCCUUCGACGAGUCGAGUUGUUUGGGAAUGCAGCUCUAAAUGGGAGGUACAUUUCUUCUAAAGCUAAAUAUUGGCCAGAGACCGAUAGCGCACAAGUAGAGUGAUCGAAAGAUGAAAAGCACUUUGGAAAGAGAGUCAAACAGCACGUGAAAUUGUUGAAAGGGAAGCGCUUGCAGCCAGACUUGCUUGCAGUUGCUCAUCCGGGCUUUUGCCCGGUGCACUCUUCUGCAGGCAGGCCAGCAUCAGUUUAGGCGGUGGGAUAAAGGCCUCUGUCAUGUACCUCUCUUCGGGGAGGCCUUAUAGGGGAGGCGACAUACCACCAGCCUGGACUGAGGUCCGCGCAUUCGCUAGGAUGCUGGCGUAAUGGCUGUAAGCGG
rnacentral:rRNA from 1 species